rnacentral:rRNA from 1 species
GACGAACGCUGGCGGCGUGCCUAAUACAUGCAAGUCGAGCGCAGGAAGCCGUCUGAACCCUUCGGGGGGACGACGGUGGAAUGAGCGGCGGACGGGUAAGUAACACGUAAAGAACCUGCCCAUAGGUCUGGGAUAACCACGAGAAAUCGGGGCUAAUACCGGAUGUGUCAUCGGACCGCAUGGUCCGCUGAUGAAAGGCGCUCCGGCGUCGCCCAUGGAUGGCUUUGCGGUGCAUUAGCUAGUUGGUGGGGUAACGGCCCACCAAGGCGACGAUGCAUAGCCGACCUGAGAGGGUGAUCGGCCACACUGGGACUGAGACACGGCCCAGACUCCUACGGGAGGCAGCAGUAGGGAAUCUUCCACAAUGGACGAAAGUCUGAUGGAGCAACGCCGCGUGAACGAUGAAGGCUUUCGGGUCGUAAAGUUCUGUUGUAAGGGAAGAACAAGUGCCGCAGGCAAUGGCGGCACCUUGACGGUACCUUGCGAGAAAGCCACGGCUAACUACGUGCCAGCAGCCGCCGUAA